ensembl:lncRNA novel transcript
GUAUUUCAAGGGUGAACAAGUAAAUGCAGCCUUCUCCAAGAGUGAAUCUCAUUCUGGCACCAGAAUUUAUCCAUGACAGAUAAUUGACCUUCUGAUAAACAUUCCUUGUAAGGAUGCUGGUGUUACCCAAAAUAUUAAAUAUUUAUAAAGCUGAAUAAAAUGUAAGUUCUGA